rnacentral:rRNA from 1 species
UACGGGGGGGGCAAGCGUUGUUCGGAAUUACUGGGCGUAAAGCGUGCGUAGACGGUUGCGUAAGUCAGAUGUGAAAGCCCCGGGCUCAACCUGGGAAUUGCAUUUGAGACUGCGUAGCUAGGGUGCGGAAGAGGGAAGCGGAAUUUCCGGUGUAGCGGUGAAAUGCGUAGAUAUCGGAAGGAACACCAGUGGCGAAGGCGGUUACCUGGAGCUUUGCUGACGCUGAUGCGCGAAAGCGUGGGGAGCGAUCCGG